CCCCCACCGACUACAGGCUGUGCCGGCCGGCCAUGGCAGCUCGUCGGCCAAGCGCCGCACACAGUACCCACCUCACUUUUUCCACUCACAGGGGUUCAUCAAGCUCCUGCUCCUCCGCCAAUCACCAGCACCACACCAGUGCCGACCCCCUCCCCCCCCCCCCGGGGGCCGCUGCUGCUACCACGAUGUAGUGCAAGCUCCAGGACAAGCGGUGUUGGAAUCGGCAGAGGGCGGUGCUGCAACUGUUGUCAUCUAAAGCUGGAAUCAAGAGGUGCGGCUCCUGCAAGCCCCGGGCGCGGUGCUGGAACGACGGCUAUGUCGUGCUACGACGGGCAGACGAGAUGCUAGAACCGGCCUUGGCGGGAGCUACAAUCAGCGGCCUUUUUUGCUACAACCGUUCUUUUGUUUUGCUGGAAUUAGCGACUUUUUUUGCUAGGAUCUGUAAUUUGAGAUGUUUUUUGCUGGAACCAUCUCUAAUUUUUGUUACCACCGUCUAUGAUUUUGCUACCACUGGCCUUUUCGAUUUUUGCUACCGCCCUUCUGUGAUUUGCUGCUGAAACCCAGUUUCAAUUUUUUGCUGCCACCGUCCGUGUUUUUUACUGCCACCGUCUUUGAUUUUUGCCAUCAUCCCAACUUUUGAUUUUUUGCCGGAUCCAUGUUAUUGCUGGAACCAAAGAAUUUGUUUGCUGGAACCAGCAAUUUAUUAUGUUGCAACCAGCUUCCAGAGCCCAACGGCCAGUGGAACCGCUUGGGGCAUAUAUGUUUUGACGGGCCUCCGCUGCAUCUGGCGAGACGGGGAGAGGCCACGGCGAGGCGGUGAGUGGUGAUGGGAGCGACUAGUCGGUGCUGCUACGGCCAGCUAGGCGCCGAGUUCUACAGGGGUCGUGCAUUGGUUUGUGGAGAAAAACGAUGCAUAUCGGGGGUAUAGGAUAAAGUUUGAACGGUUGACAAUAUGCUAAUCCUACGGUGCAGAGCGGACCGGCCAAAAGUUUUGGCCGGUGCGCCGGCGCCUAAUACUCACCUGAGUGAGGGCAUCCACAGUGCUUAGAGGCUGGCUUGCCUCUAAGCUGGGCCCCAUGUCCUGUAGUAAAACUUGGCUCAAAAGUGCGUAGUGUGUAGCACAUAUUCUCAGCCUCUAAGAUGUCCCCACAUAGAGUAAAAUAUUUGAUUCUUCAACCGAUUGUGUCUCAUCUCUUUGCAUGGCCAUCACUCUUUCUAUCCAUGACAUGUGGGGUUAGCUGAUUAUUUUAGUCCAAAGCAAGAACUAGAGGCAGCCUCCAAGCUUGGCAUCGAUGCCAAGGAUUUUGGCUUAGAGGCGCAUGCCCAUAGUGUAUAGCGCCUGCCUCUAAAGGCUUAGAGGCUGCCUUGGAGGCAACAAAACACAACAUUGUGGAUGCUCUAAGAGCUAGUUAGCUAGAAGCAAACAACUACAAUCACCUUUGCAUGUUGAGUUGCAUCGAGCUCACGCCUUCAAGUGUGUGACCCAGCGACCUCCCGCGCAUCUCCACCGGCCACGGCCGCACCCGCCGACUGGUUGCAUGCGCUGUGGUUCCACCUUCUACCAGGGAGCGGGUCGGCCACAGCCUUGGGCGCGCCGGAGGCGGGCGGAGCUAGCCGUGACGGCCCCGUCAACCCAUCGGCCAAGGCGACGGCCCGCGCGGCGCAGCACGACUGAAGCAAGCGGAGGUAGCUUCCAUGGACCCAUAUUGCCUCCAGUCAAGGGCUCAAGGCCAGUGCCCCCACGCGGCGCAGCAUGCCGGAACCUGGCGGCACUAGCCGCGACGGGCCGUCUUUGCCGCCUUCCAAGGCCACGGCCAAGGCGUUGCAGCGCACCGGACGCGUGCAGCGCUAGCCACGACAGCUCCCGUCUGGCCGCCGGCCACGGCGCCGAGCGGCGGACCUCACCUCGCCGGAAUCCUCUUUCACGGAGCUGUAGAACGAGUGGCUAUGGGGUGUCGAAUAGCAGCAGUCCACUGGGAUAAGGCAAGGAAAAAACAUUUUCUGUAUAAAUUAAAAAAGGAAUUGUGGUUGCUUGAGUGGUGGGGUCUGUCAGGACACGUGUUGACUGCUGGUUGGCCCUGCACAUUACUGCGUGCCCGUUCGGCGGCUACGUCGCCGCCCUCCAACGCCCAGCGCGCCGCCGCCUGUAGCCCCUCCCAGCACCCGCGCCCCCACCCACCUCAACCCCCGGAUCGAUCUACCGCUUCCUCGACCUACCUCGGCGCCAAUUGGAUUGCUGCGGCGACGGCCUCGUCGAUCCUCAGCUUCGGCACCUACAUCCUGAAGGGGUACGAUCUCGUGUUUGGUAUGGAUCUGAACGCCCACCCCUUCUCAGAUCUGCCUGCUACGAAUUCCUUAUUUGGGUCGGGAGCAAGCUGUAAUCUCAGUACUUGUACUUGUUCAUCCAUCUAAGUGUUUCAGUUCACCUCUGUACUAGUACUUUCAUCCAUCUGAUUCUUUAACCUCUGAACCUUUCACUCGUACGUUUCCCUGAUUUCUCACCCCGUGGCCACCUUGCUGCUGCUGCUUCACUGACUUAUUGGGAUGGCACAUGAGGCAACAUGCUGCUGCGUUUGGAGAUUUCAUAAAAAAAGACAUUAGCAUGUAGCAAACCAUGAGAGGGUAUUAAUCAAAACGGCCACAACACUAAACAGAUGGGUCACCAGUUUAGGAUCAGUAGCAGACCAUGGACAAUUUUGGUCUAAUGAAUAAAGCAAAGGUACCAGGGUAAAACAAAUCAGAUGAGGAAUGUUACACGCAUGAGUACUCACCCAUGAGAGCAGGACAAUAUGUCCUGUUGGAAUUGCUGCAUGUUCAUCGGCACACAGUCAGUCAACAACUCGAGGAGCACGACAAUGUGUGCACUUCACAAAAAUCACCACCUUCUCAUCCUAGUGCCACACAUGAAUCCAGCACAAACUGGUAGAAAUUAAAAUAAGUAGCAUGCGCAAAUGUCCUGGAUUCUUAGUCCGAUUUUUAACUUGUUAUCUCGAAGUUCCAGCAGAAGAUUUUUUAAUGAAUAUCUGUCGAUUGAGCAUUGUGUUUUCAAACUAGAUAAGAUUUUGUUCAUAGGCGCAUCUUAUAUCCAAUGGCAUUGAGUGUGGGUGGCUGGACCAUGGUCUUGAAUCUCCUCUCUCUAUUUUGAGUUAUGAUAAGCUGAUAGUGCAUUGGCAUGCUACUGUGUACCUCUUUGCCCUCUCCAUUCACAUGUUUCUUUUGGUCGGAUUGCUUGGUUCUGCGACCCAAAUUGCAGAGGAGACGUCCACAACUUGUACUGCUUGGUUUCCCUGUCCAAGACUCAAAUCUUGUCCUAGGAAGUAUGCAAGCACAGGAGAAGAAGCUUGUCAAUUUUUUUUGGAACAUGCCAAAGGGGCAAAGAAUAGUUGUAAAAUGCAAUGAAGAAAGCUAGCCUUUUGGAACAAGCUUGCCAAUUGUUUGGAACAUGCCAAAGGGAAUAAUGGAGUAGAAGAUGAAAAUCUCCAAUCAAAUCAUACUGGCAUUUCUCGGUUACAAAUACUACAUGGUAAAACAAAGAGAAUCCAAUGCAAUGGACCUGUUGAGGCACGCUUGUCUAUGAAACAUGAAAUUUCUGAGGCUAAUAAUCUGUCGCAUUCAUGCCAAAAAGUUAUGUCUAGACUUACUCUCACUCAUGUCACAAAGAUAGAAUAUAAAAAUAUUAAUUGCUUACCAUUGUUGUGUCAUGGAACCAGGAUGGCGAGCAUGAUGAUGUCGGUCAGUUACAAAUUCAACAAAAAGUCAUCGUCGCCACAAGACCUUGUUAUUGAUUAUGUGCAAAAGGCAAGGGAAAUGAGGGAUCGCGCAGUUGAAUAUUUUUCAAGACUAGACAAGCAGGGGACUAGAACUGAACGCCCACAUCCAGUUCGCUAAAAAAAGGCGUACUUCUUCAAUCAAGGACAAUUGGUGAAGCUUUCUCUUCAGGAUACCUAAUUGCUUGGCCUUCAACUUUUAUUUGAAACAAGGAUAAUUGACUUGCAGCUGAAUACUUCGGUUGGAACAGGAAGCAAAUAAAAUUUGAAGAUUUUACUUCCCAAUAGUUGUAGUUUACAUUGAUAGAUUGAAAAAUGUAAUAUUAUUCAAAAGAUCUUUUUCUUUGGUCGAAUUUAUGCAAAUGCUAUGGUGUAAUAUUCUCCAUACUUGUGUUUUCUAUAGUUAAAUUGAUAUAAAUGAUAUGCUGUUGCACCUAAGAAUAUUUGUAUUUAUUUAUUGUAAUGCAUAAGUAUAAUACAC